rnacentral:rRNA from 1 species
CGUAGGGUGCGAGCGUUAAUCGGAAUUACUGGGCGUAAAGCGUGCGCAGGCGGUUUGUUAAGAUAGGCGUGAAAUCCCCGGGCUCAACCUGGGAACUGCGCUUAUGACUGGCAAGCUAGAGUACGGCAGAGGGGGGUGGAAUUCCACGUGUAGCAGUGAAAUGCGUAGAGAUGUGGAGGAACACCAAUGGCGAAGGCAGCCCCCUGGGUCGAUACUGACGCUCAUGCACGAAAGCGUGGGUAGCAAACAGGAUUAGAUACCCUGGUAGUCCACGCCCUAAACGAUGUCAACUAGGUGUUGGAUGGGUAAAACCAUUUAGUACCGGAGCUAACGCGUGAAGUUGACCGCCUGGAGAGUACGGCCGCAAGGUUA